AUCCCCCCUCGCCCAGCCGGGAGCUCGGGGCUUUCACUCGCUUCUCUCGCUCCGCGCCGGCGGGGGUCUCUCUCGGCGGCCGCCCCCGCGGCUCUGCGCGCGCGCGCCGGGGAGGCGGGGCCGGCGCUGCGGGAGCCGCCGCGAGCGAGGGCCGCCCUUCCCCGCCCCUCCCCGCGCGCCGCGCGCACACGGCGGGACCGUUGCCUCCCCCCACCCCGCACCCCCGCGCCGGCACCGGGAUGAGCGGCUCGUGCUGAGCGCCCGCCGCGUCGGAUGUUCGCGUCCCCCCCGCGCCGAGGAUGCUGAAGAUGAAGCUGCCCCUGAAGCAGACGAGCCACAAGGCGGCGGCGGAAGAGGCGCUGAAGGAGCCCGGCCCGGAGUGUCCCCUCCCGCUGCCCCGGGCCCGCGGGGCGGCCCCCCCCGCCGCCGCCGGGAGGGGCUGCGGGCUGGAGCGGCCGAGCCGGCUGCACGGCCCGGGGCCGGGGCCGGGUGCGGGUCCCGGCCCGCCGGCCCCCCCCGCCCCGGGAGGCGGCGCGGCCCCCGGCGCGGCGGCGGCGCGCACGGACAAGGAGACGGUGUACGAGUGGUUCGGGCUGGUGUUGGGCUCGGCGCAGCGGCUGGAGUUCAUGGUGGGGCUGCUGGACCUGUGCAACCCGCUGGAGCUGCGCUUCCUGGGCUCCUGCUUGGAGGACCUGGCCCGCAAGGACUACCACUGCCUCCGCGACUCGGAGGCCAAGGCCAACGGGCUCAGCGACCCCGGGCAGCUCGGGGACUUCCGCGACCCGGCCGUGCGCUCCAAGCUGAUCGUGUACCUGGCCCUGCUGGGCUCCGAGAACCGCGAGGCCGCCGGGCGCCUCCACCGCCUCCUGCCCCAGGUGGACUCCAUCCUGCAGAGCUGCCCGGCGCGGCGGCCCCCGGAGGAAGGGGCCGAGGACGAGGAGGACGUGGUGGUGGUGAUGGACGGAGCCGGGGAGAACGGGCAGCCCGGCCUCCCCGCCGCCCAGGGCCUGGGCUUCGGCGCGCAGGAGGAGCUGCUCCUGCUCUUCACCAUGGCCUCGCUGCACCCGGCCUUCUCCUUCCACCAGCGGGUCACCCUGCGGGAGCACUUGGAGCGGCUGCGGAGGGCCCUGUGCCGGGACCAGCAGGAGGAGGGCUUUGGCCGCCACCGGGCCCAGAAUGACUUUUCCCACGGUGACUGCGUGUCAAGUAGUGAGACUAGUUUGCUAGAACAAACCACAGCACCUCAUGAUGGAUUACCAAUGGCUUCCCAUAGACCUCAGCGAGAAGCUGUACACAUUGAGAAGAUAACCCUGAAAGGAGUACCAAGAAAAAGGGCUGACAAACAUUUGGAGUACACAUUCAAAGUGGUUUGGUCUGAUCUUUCGGUAACAUGUGUAACAAAAACACACCAGGAGCUUCAGGAAUUCCUGCUAAAACUCCCAAAGGAACUGUCUUCUGAAGCUUUUGACAAGACUAUUUUAAGAGCACUAAAUCAGGGUUUUCAGAAGAGGGAAGAACGAAGGCAUCCUGAUCUUGAGCCCAUAAUCAGGCAGCUAUUUUCAAAUACAUCACAAGCUUUUCUGCAGAAUCAGAGAGUAUACAACUUCUUCCAAUCAAUUUCAUCAGAAUCUUUGCACACUCACAGUAACUUACAACCCUCUUUGAAGACGGUUAAGGCACCAGAACACUUCAAGGAGGACAGUUCAGAAGCUUCAAGUCAGGAGGAAGAUGUAGUGCAACACACAGCAGUUCACAAGAAACAUAAUGGAAAAAGUCCUGUUGCCAACAGCACUAGCAGUGCAAAAAGUUCUUCACUGGAUAGCCUUAACAUACAGCACUCUGAGCAAAACGGGGUAAUGGACUGGAGAAGAAAAAGCUGCGUUGUCCAGCAGCAUCCAGAGCACUGUACAAACCUACUUGACCAGCAUACAGGGGAAAAACGAAGUCUGUCUGCAGUAAGCAAGAAGAAAGGAAAGCCACACCUGGAAAGGGAGAAAGCAAAGAAAACCGACUGCCGGUUGAAUAACAGGACUAAUGGUGUUAGAGUUGCAGCAUCACAGCACAUCCGUACAGGAACAGCAAAAGAUCUGAAUUUGGACGCUGGAUCUGGUCAUGAUACGUGUGGAGAAACAUCAUCUGAAAGUUACAGUUCUCCUUCUAGUCCACGACAUGAUGGGAGGGAAAGCUUUGAUAGUGAAGAAGAGAAGGACAGAGAUACAGACAGCAAUUCUGAGGACUCUGGGAAUCAAAAUACAACCAGGUUUACAGGCUACAGUGCUGUCAGUUCAUCAAAUAUGAACAAAUCUGCUCAGAUCUCUUCAGUGAAUAAUGAAAAUGGAAGCCUUUCAGAAGAUCCUUUGAAUGCAAAGUUUCAACAUAUUUCCUUCAUGCCUGCCUUACACUGUGUGAUGCACAGCGCUGCCCAGAAGCCUGAAGCAGUUGUCCCGCCACCCAUAUCUGCAGAUGGUAAAACAAUGGGAAUGCUUGUUACCACGCCUGUUGCUGUCUCGCCAGUGAGAGAGUCUGCAAAUUCACCUCCUGGUGGAAUGGGCCCAGUGACCUCUGGUGAACCUGAGAAACGUCUUGAGCUGAUGGCUUCCCCUUUGCCAGUCCCAUCAACUUUCCUUCCACAUUCUGUCCAGCCUGGUAGCCCUGCUUUGCAUUUGGCUAUACAUAGAUUGAAAAUGCCCUCUCCGCAGGGUUCAUCGGAAAGUUGCACAGUUAAUGGACCGCAGCAGCCAACAGGAAACUUAAGUAUUGGAUCACCAAAUACUGCCUUUAUCCCAGUCCACAAUCCAGGUAGUUUCCCAGGAUCCCCAGUUCCUACUACAGAUCCCAUCACAAAACCUGCAUCCCAGGUGGUAGGACUGAAUCAAAUGGUGCCUCACAUUGAGGGAAACCCAGGAGCAAUCCCUCAGCCUACCAAUCUAAAGGUAGUUCUUCCAGCAGCUGGUCUCUCCACAGCAGCACCACCACCUCCAUCAGCUUCGUACGCUUUGCCAGGCAGCCCUCAUGCUACCAGUGUGUUGCCCAACCAGAAUACAAAUGUGCUGAACACUGUAGCAACUUCCUCACCACCUCAGUCUGCUGGUUUAGGUGUUGGUCAGGUGCAGUCCACUGUUCCUCCUGCAAUACCUACGCAUACACCAGGCCCUGCCCCUAGCCCGAGCCCCGCUUUAACACACAGCACUGCACAGAGUGACAGCACAUCCUACAUCAACGCUGUUGGAAAUAAUAACACUAACGGGACAAUGUUACCUCCACAGCAGCUGGGAUCUGGUCCCUGCGGUUCUUGUGGACGUAGGUGUAGCUGUGGGACCAAUGGAAGCCUUCAGAUUAAUAGCUAUUUUUAUCAUAACCCACUUCAUGGACAAGUCUACAGAGUUCCAUCUUUCUUCACUCUGCCAUCACUUUGCAAUGGCAGCUACCUCAAUCAAGCACAUCAAAGCAAUGGAACACAACUUCCUUUCUUCCUGCCUCAGUCUCCAUAUGCAAACGGGCUUAUGCAUGACCCAGUGAUGGGGAGCCAAGCCAACUAUGGUAUGCAGCAGAUGGCAGGAUUUGGGAGGUUCUAUCCUGUAUAUCCAGCACCUAACGUAGUUGCCAACACAAAUGGGUCGGGACCCAAGAAGAAUGGGAACGUUUCAUGUUACAAUUGUGGUGUAAGUGGACACUAUGCGCAGGACUGUAAGCAGUCAUCCAUGGAGGCCAGUCAACAAGGUAAUCAUGAUAACUCCCAGCGGACUUGCUUUUGAGUUUAGCAAUUUCUCUUUACCUUUCUGAAUGUGCUGUUUAUGGUCUUGCAGAAAGGUGUGCGUGCGUGUGUAUGUUUUGUGUAAAUGAUUGUGCACUAGUGACCUGCUCUGAAACUGCAAAGUAUCUUAUCUCUGCCUGAAAAUUUUGUAGAACAGUGCAAGGGAACGGGGUUCGCAGUGCGAAGUUGAAAAUGAGCAUGAUUCGGAGCUGGGAAGUCACAAACUGUAUCAGUCCUAAAUUGUCAUUCUUUUUUCACCAGUUUGUUUUUGGUGUUAUGUUGAGACUUGCAUGGUGUUUCAGUUUUUCCAUUCCUGUUCAGUGUUGGGGUAUUUUUGGAGAGCAUUCAUUGGCAAAAAGUGAAAGAUACCAGUUGCUGUCUGUGAUACGAACUUGGAUUCUCAAAACUUGUGAGAAUUUAAACAAAGCAACAGACUGGCCAUUUGAUAAUUUAAGUUUUCUAAAGCUUACCUUUGCACAAUCAGCCAUCCUUCUGUGCCCUGUCAUACAAUACAUUAAGGAAACACGCUUUAACUUUUCAGACAAGUUGCAGCAAAAAGGCAGAAACUGAUUGGAACUAAAAAUCAAAGGAAUGGCUUCAGUCUUCUAUGUUAUUUCUCUCUCCAUCCAGAAGAAUGGAGAAAACACAGUGAUUGCAUAGAGCAUAAACUGUUUUUUUUAUUCUUGGCCUGUGCCCCUUCUGACUUGACUUGUUUGGUUGGACUGGAACAGGAAAGAAACAACCUUGAUGGGGAUCGUCUUUUCUUUGCAUUUUAUCCAUUAAAGGCACUUACAGACUGAGAUACGCACCUCCCCCUCCCCCUUCCAAUGAUACCUUGGAUUCUGCAGACUGAAACAAGUAAACAUUGCCUACUUAAACUGAAGCUUGGGAAACUGGGGGAAGGUGUGUGUGGGAGGGUGGGGGUUGGUCUUGUGUUUUGGGACAUUCCCUGUUCUAUAUUCUUUUGAAAUUUUUCACUGCUUUUGCACCUCUGUUCCAUACAAAAGAAGAAAGCCAAGUCCCUGGUCUCCUCCUGGUUCUACAAAAGGCUUGCGUAAUGCAUGUGAUUCAAACACACAGCCAAACAAUCAAAAAGAGCAUUCAAACCAUGCUUUUGCACUGAAGACUUGAGACAUGUGCAAUGUUUACUGCAUUUUUUUUUAGAAAAGUAAGUCCUCUGACCUCUGGCAUCACUGGCGGAGCAGCCAUAUGGUGAAAGAAGAAACCCAGUCAUGUUCCCCACCACAAUCUCCUUCUCUCCCUCCCCUCCUUAUGCUGCUGUUUUAUUUUUUUUUCCCUGUUUGUCCACGUGGAUUCGUUGGACUUACAUGAAUGUUUAGCAGUUCAUACAGACCCACCCAUACUCUAAAUUAAUGCUCAUGAAUUGAGGGGAGAUGUUCAAACGUCUUGUCAGGAGAGCCCAAAGGAACACACAAUACCGUAUGUGUACUAUAUCUGAUAAUAAUACAUAGACACAGCUCUCGAGAGUCCCAAAUAAAAGAAAAAGGUAGAGCAGGAAGGGGCUGAAACUGUGUGGACUGGAACAGAUUUUAAAAAAUGGACGAGCUUAAAUUGACAGAUUUUCCUUCCAUUUGUAGCUUUUUAGCCUGUAUGUUCAGCAACAAAGGUGAAGAAAAUGGUAUGAGUGUUGUACUCCGUGUGUUUGCAUUUGUAAUGAAAGUUGACAGCAUUUUUUUCCUUUUUUAAAGCUAUUCUACAUCGUGUCAACACAGAAUGAACAUUACUUGAUCGAAUAUUUUUUUCCUAAACUAUUACAGUGUUGCAUUGUACUUAGAAUGUAAAUGUUUUAUUUCAAACUGAACAAAAGGUAUGGUUUUCUACAAAAUAGUCAGGUAUUAGUAUUAGAACCUGUCUACCAAAUAGCAAAGUCACUAUUUUAUAACAAUUUACCACUAUGCGUAAUUACGGUAUAAUGUGAAAGAUUGAAAUGAGUGUUAAGAUGGUAUUAAUCAUGUCAGUAUCAUGAGUAAGUAAGUUUAAUGCUGCUGUAUUUUUUAUUUUAUUUUUAAAAGCCAAUAUAUGUACUAAAUUGCUUCCAGGUAAUAUUUGAUUUCCUAAAGUGCACUGAGGUUAUCUGGAAGAUGAGUGUAUUUUUUGACUGCUGCAUUCAACACCGGUGAACAACUACCACUGUAUAUCCAUAGGGUUUGGCAUUCCUCACAGUUCAUGGCAGAAAUGUUUUUUCUUAAAGUCAGGCCUGGUGUCCGGUAGAGGGAUGAAAUAAAAUCAAUCUUGGGUUCAGCCAUCUCAUAAAUUGCUAAACAAACAAAAAACUUGAAGAAAAAAAAGCUUGAUUACUACAUUUCUUCAUAGGUAGCAUUUAUAUUUAUAGCACCAGUGUACAUUUUGAAACUUUUUUCUUGGGGUGGGGAGGGAGGGGCGGGGAGGGAGGUAGAUGAAAGCUUUAAUUUAAAAAAAAAAAAGUUUAAGUAGUAAAUGAAAAUUAUUUUGAUUAAAAUUUUUAUUUGAUCUGGGUAUUUUUGGACCACUUGAAAUGAAUGAACUGCGUUUGAGUUGAAGUGAGGGUGUUAAACCACCAAUGGACUUGUAUUGUGAAUUACCUGCCAGUUGUACUUUAUGGAACUUAUUUUAUGAUUUAAAAUACUGUACUGUAAAUAGGAGGUAUGUUACCUUCUCUUUAUUUGUAUGUUUACCAUAUACUUUGAUAUUUGAAAUGUACUGGAAAGGUCACUUAUAUUUCUAGAAGAGAUUGGAUUUUAUGCAACCUUUUUCCUUGAAUUAAC